GACGUAGGGGGCCAGCGUUGCUCGGAAUUACUGGGUGUAAAGGGUUCGUAGGCGGUGUGGCAAGUCGGGAGUGAAAUCUCUGGGCUCAACCCAGAGUCUGCUUCCGAAACUGCUGUGCUUGAGUGUGGGAGAGGCGCGUGGAAUUGCAGGUGUAGCGGUGAAAUGCGUAGAUAUCGAGAGGAACACCUGCGGCGAAGGCGGGUUGCUGGGCUGACACUGACGCUGAGGCGCGAAAGCUAGGGGAGCGAACGGG
rnacentral:rRNA from 1 species